UUUACUGCAGUUAUUUUAGUUAUUAAUAUUAAAACGAAAUUUUCAAACGAUUCGACGAAUAAUCGAAAAAUACAAAAAUAUUACAGAAUCAAAAACUUAACAUGGUAAAUAUUACAUUACAUAUAGAAAAAUUUAUAUUUAUACAUAUAUAUAUAUAUAUAAAUAUAUAUUAUUUAAAUUUUGAAAGUAGAAUUGGUAAUUUUUAAAUAUGCUAAUGAAAUUAUCAAAUAAAUUUUCGGUGCUAAAGAUAGAAAUCUUGUUAAAUAAUGAUCGUGAACAUUUUUCUUAAUACUGCUUAUUUACUAAUUAUACAUUGUGCUCUAUUUUUAAUUUAUAAAAACAUUUUUGGCUCCAUAAAAAUUAAGUAAAUUGUUCAUUGUAAUUGUACAUAAAUAAAAAAUGAACGUUUAGGUAUGAUAUUGUUUUAUUUUCAUAAACUUAUAAACAUUUACAUUCUAAAUUUAAGCUUACUGGUGAUUUUAAUAAGCGUAUAGAAUUUUCUUGCAUAAGAAAGUGUCUUAUUUAAAGUUGAAUCAAUAAAAAAGUGCUCGAUUAAAAUGUCUUAACUUAAUUUCUAAAGAACAAUUUUAUUUUCAAAAAGGAUAUGCAGACUUUCCAUUUAUACUGGCUUAUAACGUUAGCAUAUGCAUCAGUUAAUAUAACUGGAAAUGUUUAUUUUCCAACGAGGAAGUUUGAUAGUGAAUGGUGGUCAAAUACAAUAAUAUAUCAAGCAUAUCCGAGAUCGUUUAAAGACAGUAAUAGGGAUGGUGUAGGUGAUUUAAAAGGUAAAAAUAUUCUUAAACGAUAAAACAGAUAUAGAUAAUAAAUAUAAAGGUAUAUUUUAAUAUAUUUUCAGGAAUAAUCCAGAAACUUGAUCAUUUCGUUGAUCUUGGUAUUGAAACGAUCUGGGUAGGUCCGAUAUUUAAAUCACCUAUGAUUGACAUGGGUUAUGAUGUGGAAAAUUUUACAUUGAUAGAUCCUCUUUUUGGUACAAUGGACGAC